AGAGUUUGAUCCUGGCUCAGGACGAACGCUGGCGGCAUGCCUAACACAUGCAAGUCGAACGGAGAAAGUUCAACACCAAGUAUUUCAUCCGCUGAAGUGUAGCGGUAAAAAUUGCGAAGCAAUUUUUACUACGCAUUAAAAGCAUUAACUAACACGGUGGUUGAAGUAUUAGGUGUUGAACUUUCUUAGUGGCGAACGGGUGAGUAACGCGUGGGCAACCUGCCCUCUAGAUGGGGACAACAUCCCGAAAGGGGUGCUAAUACCGAAUGUGACAGCAAUCUCGCAUGAGGAUGCUGUGAAAGAUGGCCUCUAUUUAUAAGCUAUCGCUAGAGGAUGGGCCUGCGUCUGAUUAGCUAGUUGGUGGGGUAACGGCCUACCAAGGCGACGAUCAGUAGCCGGUCUGAGAGGAUGAACGGCCACAUUGGGACUGAGACACGGCCCAGACUCCUACGGGAGGCAGCAGUGGGGAAUCUUCCGCAAUGGGCGAAAGCCUGACGGAGCAAUGCCGCGUGAGUGAUGAAGGAAUUCGUUCCGUAAAGCUCUUUUGUUUAUGACGAAUGUGCAGAUUGUAAAUAAUGAUCUGUAAUGACGGUAGUAAACGAAUAAGCCACGGCUAACUACGUGCCAGCAGCCGCGGUAAUACGUAGGUGGCGAGCGUUGUCCGGAAUUAUUGGGCGUAAAGAGCAUGUAGGCGGUUUUUUAAGUCUGGAGUGAAAAUGCGGGGCUCAACCCCGUAUGGCUCUGGAUACUGGAAGACUUGAGUGCAGGAGAGGAAAGGGGAAUUCCCAGUGUAGCGGUGAAAUGCGUAGAUAUUGGGAGGAACACCAGUGGCGAAGGCGCCUUUCUGGACUGUGUCUGACGCUGAGAUGCGAAAGCCAGGGUAGCGAACGGGAUUAGAUACCCCGGUAGUCCUGGCCGUAAACGAUGGGUACUAGGUGUAGGAGGUAUCGACCCCUUCUGUGCCGGAGUUAACGCAAUAAGUACCCCGCCUGGGGAGUACGUCCGCAAGGAUGAAACUCAAAGGAAUUGACGGGGGCCCGCACAAGCGGUGGAGUAUGUG
rnacentral:rRNA from 1 species